GCGGAGUUAGCAAAGAAGAUAUGCCGCGGUCUGCAAAACCGUUUACCGGAGUGCGAAUCUCCGACUCCGCU
rnacentral:tRNA from 1 species